GUAGUCCAUGCCGUAAACGUUGGGAACUAGAUGUAGGGACCAUUCCACGGUUUCUGUGUCGCAGCUAACGCAUUAAGUUCCCCGCCUGGGGAGUACGGCCGCAAGGCUAAAACUCAAAGGAAUUGACGGGGGCCCGCACAAGCGGCGGAGCAUGCGGAUUAAUUCGAUGCAACGCGAAGAACCUUACCAAGGCUUGACAUAUACCGGAAAAGUUCAGAAAUGUUCUCCCCGCAAGGUCGGUAUACAGGUGGUGCAUGGUUGUCGUCAGCUCGUGUCGUGAGAUGUUGGGUUAAG
rnacentral:rRNA from 1 species